GUGGAGCUCAGCAGCUGUCAAUCUCGCCCGUGUGUUUGACCACGCGUACAACCCUCCCCCAAGAGAAGUACGCUGAUUGCACCUCACCAUAGGGGACUUACAAUCAAGGAGUUUUCUCUGGGCAUUUUCCAGCCUCUGCAUGCCACUAAGAGCAGGACCCUACAACUUAAGAAAAAAUCUGUCAGGGCAAGUCAUAUACUGAUCGGACAGAGCUGCUGGAUAUGUCACACUACACAAUGGGUGUCACGAGCACACUGUGUCUCCCUCAUCCUUGCUAAGAUCAUUGAAAUGAAGACCAUGAUUGAGAAUCACUGAGAGUUUUGGGCAAUGCAUCAUUGGAGGAGGAGGAGAGAAAGAAAAAUGGCAGCUCAGAGAAGAUGCCCAGUGAGAGCAAUUGAUUCCAUCCCAUUCUGAGCCUGAUCCUAUAAAGUCGGAUAUUAAUCAAGCCAACCUAGAGGACAGAGCUCCACAAGAAGCAAAGACCCGUUCAUUUGAGCAAUGAUGUUACUAAAGGGAAGGCUACUGUCUAUAUUUUCAAUUCCCUAGUGACAUUGUUCAUUUAUUUUGUUUUUCUGUUGAAAGGAUUAAACAGGACUACUCAAUUGACUCAAUCAACAUUUCAUCCUACCAUUCAUAAUUCAAAACAGGGAAUAAAUGACUGAUUUAUAUCACUGCCAGUGAAAAUGUUUAGUGGAAGCUAUAGUAAUGCUGGCAGAAAUAAAUUCUUGGGGUGCAACAUGGGGAUUUAAUGAUUUCUGAAAGCACAAUAUGAAUGGUCACUUAACUUAUGCCCCAGAGUAAGAAAUAAAGCAGUCAAAAUAUAAUCAAUGCAGUUUAUUCACCUUGUCUUAAAUAGUAUUUUUAAAUAAUGUU